rnacentral:lncRNA from 10 species
UCAUCUGAUAAGCAGAAAUAUUUUAUUUUUCCCAUAAUUCUCAAUGUAUGAGGCUAUCUCUUACAUAAAGAAGUGAGUCCUUUCUUUGAUUAUGCAGAAGUGUGACUUCCUUUCCUCCAACUGCUAACCUCACCCUUUCAAAUGGUGUCCUCAGGUAAUUGGCAUUGAUGAGUGAUAGAUAUCUAAAUAACAACCCCCUUAGCUCCAGCCUGAAUUUAGAGUAAUCAUGUGUAAGAACAUUCAGGUCUUGGCUAAGGGCCAUUCUCAUCCUAGAGGAUGCUAAAGAUGCUUCCUUUCCUCUGGAUGAUGUAAUUUUUUGUUCUCUAAUUGCACUUUUCCCCUUUAUCCUUCACUCAAGAAGAAUAUAUGAAUUGAAAUGUGUGGGAAUGAUAUGACUUUAUAGAUAAUCCAGAAUCCACUGUAGCUUCUCAAUGUAAAUCAUUAGCUCUUAUCAGUAUUUUGUGAUUGACAGUAGAUUACUUGUAAUAUAUCUAGCAGCUGAUUGCAGGUACAUAGCAGUUCUUUGGUUGAGAACUACUGAAAUAGAAUAGAGUGAAGGGAUAUAUAGACAAGAAAGAAUGGGUCCAUAAGUUUAAAGUUAUGAACACUGAGCACUAGGUAAGAAGUAUCAUGGUUAAGAGCUUGAUAUGUGGACCCAAACAGAGUCCUUAAACCUGUCCUGUGUUUAGAAACUUUUAAGACUUUAGGCAAGUUACUUAAAACCUUUUGCGACCCUGGGUGUUCUCUUUUUAAAGGGAUAAUACAGCAUAUACCUUACAGCACUGCUGUGAGAAUUACAAGCAGUAACAUAAGUAAAAGAGAAAGUACAAGGCUAAUCCGUAAAGGGAUGGUUGUAUCCAAUGAUCCACAAUCCACACAGUCAUAAUCCUGGGGAGCUCCUUAAACAUUCAAAUGCCUAAUCCAGCUUUCCAGAGGUCCUCUUAGGGGUUGGAGUGGGGCACAGGAAUCUGAGUGCUUAAAAGUCUUCCUGUGAGGAGGAUCCUGGGGAGGAAAAGCCUUUCCUCCGCCCUCUUAGGUUCAGUACUUAGGAGUCUGUGAAUUAAA